GAUGAACGCUGGCGGCGUGCCUAACACAUGCAAGUCGAGCGAACGGACCAGAAUCUUGCUUCUCUGAUGUUAGCGGCGGACGGGAGAGUCACACGUGGAUAACCUACCUAUAAGACUGGGAUAAUUUCGGGAAACCGGCGCUUAUACCGGAUAAUAUUUUGAACCGCAUGGUUCAAAAGUGAAAGUCGGUCUUGGUGUCACUUAUAGAUGGAUCAGCGCUGCAUUAGGUAGUUGGUAAGGUAACGGCUUACCAAGGCGACGAUGCAUAACCGACCUAAGAGGGUGAUCGGCCACACUGGAAGUGAGACACGGUCCAGACACCUGCGGGAGGCAGCAGUAGGGAAUCUUCCGCAAUGGGCGAGAGCCUGACGGAGCAACGUCGCGUGAGUGAUGAAGGUCUUCUGAUCGGAAAACUCUGUUAGUAGGGAAAAACAUAUGUGUAAGUAACUGUGCACAUAUUGACGGUACCUGGUCAGAAAGCCACGGCUAACUACGUG
rnacentral:rRNA from 1 species